CAGCCUUGUGCCUCGCUCGGUUUGAUUUCGUUAUUGCAAAACAAAAGCACGAGCUUAGCAAACCUUGAGCUGGAUUCUCCCGUACGGUUGUACUUUGAUUACCACUUUUGGUAAUUCGGUACUUUAUGACGUGCGGUGAGUAAAUGGGCAAGAUUGAAUUUAACCCAAGAUUUCUUUUGAGUGCGAUGAACACCAAGGUUUCUGUUCCAAGAGCUGGAUGGUGGCAUUGUAAUUAUAAAUCUUGACAUUU
rnacentral:snoRNA from 1 species